rnacentral:rRNA from 1 species
AUACGUAGGUGACAAGCGUUAUCCGGAUUUACUGGGCGUAAAGGGCGUGUAGGCGGUCUUGCAAGUCAGAAGUGAAAUUCCUGAGCUCAACUCGGGCGCUGCUUCUGAAACUGGAGGACUUGAGUGCUGGAGGGGAUAGCGGAAUUCCUAGUGGAGCGGUAAAAUGCGCAGAUAUUAGGAAGAACACCGGUGGCGAAGGCGGAUAUCUGGACAGUAACUGACGCUGAGGCGCGAAAGCGUGUGGAGCAAACAGGAUUAGAUACCCUGGUAGUCCACACUGUAAACGAUGAAUGCUAGGUGUAGGGGGUAUCGACCCCUUCUGUGCCGCAGUCAACACAAUAAGCAUUCCGCCUGGGGAGUACGGCCGCAAGGUGGAAACUCAAAUGAAUUGACGGGG